CCAAAUAUUAUUUUGGAAUCUGCGAUACUUUUUUCAGGAUUCUUCGAUUUAUAAUUUUUUUAAAGAACAGCGUUUAUUCCAAAUAUAAAUCUCUUCUAACAAUAUUUAUCUUUGAUAUCACUUCUUAUCAAUUUAACACAUCCUGAAUAAAAGAUUCUAAAAUAUAAUAAAGAAUACAAUUUCUUAUAAAAAAGAAAGGAUAAAUUUACAAAGUCGAGAACAUGCUCCGAAGUGCCGAUCUGAAUCAACCGAGUCGCGAACAGGCUCCGAAGUGCCGAUCUGAAUCAACCGAGUCGCGAACAGGCUCCGAAGUGCCGAUCUGAAAAUUCGACCAAAAAAUGUCAAAAAUAACUACAUUUCUCUAAUAACUCUACAACUCUAUAAAAGACUCAGAUCAUAUAUCUAAAAAUAAAUGGCUAUAGUAAGAGAGAAAUAAUAAAAGGAGUGAAGUUUCCUACUGUUCUGCUGUGUUUGGUCCUCACGCGCAUCUCCGCCCCCCACACGCGCAUUUACAGCCUAAAUUAAUCAUCUUUGCUUAUUAUUAUACAUUUACUUCAUUGUCAGCUUCAGGUACUUCAUUUAUUAUUGUUCAGUGAACUGUUUGAAACAAAAAAGGUUGUAUUUCAGUAAUAAUUCAAAAUUAUCAAAAUAAAAUAUAUAAAAUAAUGAUUUCUAUUUUAAUAUCCUUUAAAAUAUAAUUUAUUUCUGUGAUGUGCAGCUGUAUUUUCAGCAUCAUUCAUCCAGUCUUCAGUGCCACAUGAUCUUUAGAAAUCAUGAAAAUAUGAUUAUUUAUUAUUAGAACUAUUAAUAGUUGUGCUACCAAAUAUUAUUUUGGAAUCUGCUAUACUUUUUUCAGGAUUCUUCGAUUUAUAUAUAUUUUUUAAAGAACACAGUUUAUUCCAAAUAUAAAUCUCUUCUAACAAUAUUAAUCUUUGAUUUCACUUCUAAUCAAUUUAACACAUACUGAAUAAAAGAUUCUAAAAUCUAAUAAAGAAUACAAUUUCUUAUU
rnacentral:lncRNA from 1 species